rnacentral:rRNA from 1 species
CCUACGGGAGGCAGCAGUGGGGAAUAUUGGGCAAUGGAGGAAACUCUGACCCAGCGACGCCGCGUGCGGGAUGAAGGCCUUCGGGUUGUAAACCGCUUUCAGUAGGGAAGAAGCGAAAGUGACGGUACCUACAAAAGAAGCACCGGCUAACUAUGUGCCAGCAGCCGCGGUAAUACAUAGGGUGCAAGCGUUGUCCGGAAUUAUUGGGCGUAAAGAGCUCGUAGGUCGUUUGUUACGUCGGAUGUGAAAACCUGAGGCUCAACCUCAGGCCUGCAUUCGAUACGGGCAAACUAGAGUUUGGUAGGGGAGACUGGAAUUCCUGGUGUAGCGGUGGAAUGCGCAGAUAUCAGGAGGAACACCAAUGGCGAAGGCAGGUCUCUGGGCCAAUACUGACACUGAGGAGCGAAAGUCUGGGGAGCGAACAGGAUUAGAUACCCUGGUAGUCCAGACCGUAAACGGUGGGCACUAGUUGUGGGAACCUUCCACGGUUUCUGCGACGCAGCUAACGCAUUAAGUGCCCCGCCUGGGGAGUACGAUCGCAAGNUUAAAACUCAAAGGAAUUGACGGCUGAGACGNGCGACGACGACGACGAGGAGAG